rnacentral:tRNA from 1 species
UCUAUUGGCAGAAUAAUGCAUUAGAAUUAGAAUCUAAUAAUCC